UACGUAGGGGGCUAGCGUUGUCCGGAAUCAUUGGGCGUAAAGAGCGCGUAGGCGGCCAGAUAAGUCCGGUGUGAAAGUCAAAGGCUCAACCUUUGAAUGCCGCUGGAAACUGUCUGGCUAGAGUCCGGAAGAGGAGAGUGGAAUUCCUGGUGUAGCGGUGAAAUGCGCAGAUAUCAGGAGGAACACCAAUGGCGAAGGCAGCUCGCUGGGACGGUACUGACGCUGAGACGCGAAAGCGUGGGGAGCGAACAGG
rnacentral:rRNA from 1 species